rnacentral:sRNA from 1 species
UCCCUCUUGAAGCUGUGCACUUGGUCAAUAGUACCAUUUUCUCCAAUAGAGGAGGACUGUUCUUCAGGUAAGAGUAUAGGAGUGACUGAAAACUCAUGCACGAAUCUCCAAACAAGCUUUCAAGGUGGGAUUUCACU